AGAUGUGCAGGCAAUGUGGCUGAGGCAUCUGUCACCCCAUAGACCACCAGGAUUGACUCAGAUGAUGUGGCUGACUAGGUGGGCGUCCCCUUCUCUCUCACUGCUCCAUGUUCAUCCCUCCUGAAGCUGCACAGUUCAUCAAAGAGGAUGACCUUCCUCCAAACACAGAGGACCAGUCUUCAGUAAGGGUGGAGUAGCUGUUCUCCCCUGCCAGAACCUCCGAUCAAGUUCUCAGAAACAGUCAAGUGGUAAAAGAAUGUUCAAAACCCUUUGGGUUUUUACAACUAUGGACAAAGUAAGAAGGGAUGUUAACUUCGAAAAUGGUCAUUCAAACUGAAUUU
rfam:Cricetulus griseus cell line CHO-K1, whole genome shotgun sequence.